AUGAGAGGUCUCAUUUGGAACUGCAGAGGGGUAGGCAAGAAAGGGAUGGCCACCUGCCUCUCUGAUUUAAUAAGUGACCACUCCCUAGAUUUUCUGGACCAUGAAAAAUAUUUUUCUCCCAAGAACCUUAGGAGAAUUGAUCCCUUCCACUUGUUUGAGUGGGUGUGGGUGUCCUCAUCUGGCAAGUCUGGUGGUAUCAUUGUAGGAGCUAGAAGAGAUACCCUGGACAUUGUGUCUAGUAGAAAAGGGAAAUACAUGAUCCAACUUAACCUGAAUGAUGUUAAAAAGAAGUGUAGAUGGAGUCUCCUAGUGGUUUAUGGGUCAGCCCAUCAUGAUAUGAAAGAAGAGUUCCUGCUUGAACUCGCUUCUUUCUGCUCAACUAUUGAUAAUCCUUACAUAGUGGGAGGUGACUUUAACAUUUUGAGACACGGGGGGUGA
rnacentral:rRNA from 1 species